AUGAUCAAGGGCAUACUCCUAAAUGAGACAGGAUGUUCUAAACAUUCUUAUUAGUCCAUUUGAAUAGGACUAUCAUAGUGCUUGGUCUGGCAUGAACUACCCAACACAAUAACGCUGCAUACUUUUUGUUUACACAUGUGUAUUAAGUAAUUUUUUUGAUUACUUUAAUUAACAUCUAGCACUAGAAUUCUUGAUGGGAAGAAAGUGUUUUUGCUUGAAAAAAAGAGUUUAAUAAUGAAGCAACAGAGGUAUAAUUCCUUCUCUCUCCCCAGAGACUCUGCAUGAGAUAAGGAAAGGAAUUUAUGUCUGUCUUUGGAGAGAUUGGAUGUAGAAGAAAGAGUAAAGGAGAGAGAAGAGAGAAGGAAGACGGAAGAACCAGAGGAGCAUAACCUUCAGACCUGUAGAUGUGCUCUUCUUGGACAUUCUGGAGUCUCUGGGGGAAAGGGAAGUCUGCAGCUCAGUUGGCCAC